CAGAAAGGUUUAACAAGGGGUCAGGUAACAGGUAACUCCUAAAGAAGCCCCUCUGGGACCCCUCUAAUGCUCAUCAAGGAUCACUUUUUCCCAAUCUUUCUGAAGGGAAACCACCCUGGCGGAGAGCAGCCUGCAGCAGCCAUCACAGCUCUGCCCUUCAUAUUUAACUAAACAGUCCUGUGCCCACUGGACCCUGGGGAUACCACCCAUACAGCCAGAUACACAUACAGCUGCUGAAGAAACCUCCCGUAUACAUAAAUACUACACACAGUCCCAUAAACACAAUACCACUGACAAACAGCCUCCUGCACACAAUGCCCCAAGUAACCUCACACAACACCGGGCACACAAUAUAACACACAAUCCCACAAGCAGAUCCCCAAACACAGCCCACAUUCAAACCAAUAACAUAAUACACAGCCCACAUACAUAUGUGACACAAUAUACCACAAACUGCUCACAUUAACGCAAACACACCCCUGCAAAGCAGCUGCACACCCAUAUAGAAG